CAGUCGCCGCGGGAAUACGAAGGGGGCUAGCGUUGUUCGGAUUUACUGGGCGUAAAGGGCGCGUAGGCGGACUGAUAAGUCAGGGGUGAAAUCCCAAGGCUCAACCUUGGAACUGCCUUUGAUACUGUUUGUCUUGAGUUCGAGAGAGGUAAGUGGAACUGCGAGUGUAGAGGUGAAAUUCGUAGAUAUUCGCAAGAACACCAGUGGCGAAGGCGGCUUACUGGCUCGAAACUGACGCUGAGGCGCGAAAGCGUGGGAAGCAAACAGGAUUAGAUACCCGUGUAGUCCCUGUCUCUUAUAA
rnacentral:rRNA from 1 species